UUGGUCCAUCCUCUAGAAAACGCCUCAUGCAUAGCCUGUAGUAUAGCCAUGGCUUCACCUUCCACUAUAGCAAGUUUAUGGAUACUCAUGUUUGUACCAGCAGCGACAAAGACCCGAUUUGANNCACAAACUCCAUCCCGUACGGCCGGAGACUUGUAAAAAACUUGCAUCGACAUUACAGUUCCACCACCCGUCGCGGGGAACUUCCAUUGCAUCUAUUCUGCACACAUGAUAGGUAAUCGACUCCUUGCUGCAGCUAUACAUGUAUUUUUUAAAAAAAAUAUACC
rnacentral:lncRNA from 1 species